GCCCACUCCCCCUUAUAAUCUGCCCUAGGGGAAGCAGAAUCUUCAAGCUUGCCCAACUGGGCAAAGGGAUCCUCCUUGGAUCGUCACUGGUGCUUACUUAGGCUGAGCUCCUCUCUGAUUAGCUGCUGCUUGCUUGCAAAACUGUACAAAGAGCAGGAAGAAAUCUGCAGAACGUCUUGAGAAGCAUCAAAGCAGCGUGGAGGAGAUGCUGGAGAACCUCAAGCAAGGAAACCAGAGUAAAACUCAACUUUCAUUGGUACUCUUUUACAUCAGAGACUUGCUAUGUAAAGAUUUGUUCUCCAGAGGAAUGGUCAUGCUGCACAAGGAUUCCUUUUUCCAAACAAGACUCUUCUGUGCCACAAAAUCCUAUGAGAGCUGUGACAUGUGGAAUUUUGCCAAAUUAGCUCAAACCUCUUUAAAUGAAGCACCAGAAUAGUUACUUC